rnacentral:rRNA from 1 species
GAUGAACGCUCGCUACAGGCUUAACACAUGCAAGUCGCGGGGCAGCAUGGGGGUUGCUUGCAAUCCCCGAUGGCGACCGGCGCACGGGUGAGUAACGCGUAUCCAACCUGCCCUUCACCACGGGAUAACCCGGCGAAAGUCGGACUAAUACCGUAUGUUGUCCAUUGACGGCAUCCGAUUUGGACGAAAGGCUUGGCGGUGAGGGAUGGGGAUGCGUCCGAUUAGCCAGACGGCGGGGUAACGGCCCACCGUGGCUACGAUCGGUAGGGGUUCUGAGAGGAAGGUCCCCCACACUGGAACUGAGACACGGUCCAGACUCCUACGGGAGGCAGCAGUGAGGAAUAUUGGUCAAUGGGCGUAAGCCUGAACCAGCCAAGUAGCGUGCAGGAGGACGGCCCUAUGGGUUGUAAACUGCUUUUAUGCGGGGAUAAAGUGGCCCACGGGUGGGCUUUUGCAGGUACCGCAUGAAUAAGGACCGGCUAAUUCCGUG